UACGAAGGAUGCAAGCGUUAUCCGGAUUCAUUGGGUUUAAAGGGUGCGUAGGCGGUCUUGUAAGUCAGUGGUGAAAUCUCUUUGCUUAACAAAGAAACUGCCAUGGAUACUGCUAGUCUAGAGUAUAGAUGACGUUGGCGGAAUAUGACAUGUAGUGGUGAAAUACUUAGAUAUGUCAUAGAACACCGAUUGCGAAGGCGGCUAACGAAACUAUAACUGACGCUGAGGCACGAAAGUGCGGGGAGCAAACAGG
rnacentral:rRNA from 1 species